rnacentral:rRNA from 1 species
ACGAACGCUGGCGGCGUGCCUAAUACAUGCAAGUAGAACGCACAGUUUAUACCGUAGCUUGCUACACCAUAGACUGUGAGUUGCGAACGGGUGAGUAACGCGUAGGUAACCUGCCUGGUAGCGGGGGAUAACUAUUGGAAACGAUAGCUAAUACCGCAUAAUAUUAAUUAUUGCAUGAUAAUUAAUUGAAAGGUGCAAUUGCACCACUACCAGAUGGACCUGCGUUGUAUUAGCUAGUAGGUGAGGUAACGGCUCACCUAGGCGACGAUACAUAGCCGACCUGCGAGGGUGAUCGGCCACACUGGGACUGCGACACGGCCCAGACUCCUACGGGAGGCAGCAGUAGGGAAUCUUCGGCAAUGGACGAAAGUCUGACCGAGCAACGCCGCGUGAGUGAAGAAGGUUUUCGGAUCGUAAAGCUCUGUUGUAAGAGAAGAACGGGUGUGAGAGUGGAAAGUUCACACUGUGACGGUAUCUUACCAGAAAGGGACGGCUAACUACGUG